GAUUCCAUGUACACCGGUGCAAGAAAUACAGCUGAAGAAAGAUCGAGGAAAAAGUUAUCUCCUGAAUUGGAACGCGUUUUCGAAAUCCGAACGUUAUUAUGUAGAAAUCCACGACAUCGCCAAUCAAUCAAAGCAAGAAUUCUUGACUUCAGGGAGUAGCGGUAGCUUGUCUAUCAGACAAAUAAAGAAAGGGGAACAUGAAGUAAAUAUUUUACCAUUUAGUCAGGGCAUAAUAUGGUUUCAUCGUUGCAUUGCCAAAAACUUUACUAUAGGAAUCCUGGAACAGAUGAUGUCCUGAAAAAAAAAAUGUAGAAAAUGCCCUAGUGUUAAAAAGACACAGUGACAGACAAAGAUGAAAACUACUAAUGUUUAUUUAUAAAAAGAUUAAUUAAACAAUAUAUUAAAUAUAUCUAAAAUUUUAAGUUAAAUAUAACAUUAUAAAAUA